UCUGUACAGUGAACGAGGAUACACGAGAGAAAUCUUCAUCUUCUUCUUCUUCCUUCCGAUACUGUUUCUUGAUUCAUCUUUGACCAUCUUUUCCUUUGAUUCUUUCUUUUUCCUGAGAUCGUUUUGUUCUUUCAUCUAUGGCGAAUCAAACCCCACCUGAAAUUUCUUCUCCAGAUCCAUCUGCGAAUAUUUCUUCAUGCGGCUGACGCUUCCAGCCUCACUCUCGUUACUGAAAAACUCUGGUGAAGAAAAUCGCACCCUCUGGUCCCGAUCGAUCAUCAAAGCGCUGACAGCCAAAAACAAACUAGGGUUUAUACACGGCACAGUUCCUAAGCCGUCUGAGGAGCACCCAGAUUCAGGUUCGUGGAUGCGCUGUAACGCUCUUGUUUGCACUUGGCUCACGAAUUCUGUUUGCUCCGUUGUUGUUCGAGCAAUUUCACACACUCAGCUCAAGGGGCUCGGCAGUUCUCACAUGGACUCAGUUGUGGUAGUAGCCACGUCUGUUGUGACUUACGCUUAUUUUCUGCACUUCAUCCUAUCUCUCCUGUUGACAUUUCUCUGCCCAACGGCUCUACCAUAUCUGUUUCCCAUUCUUAAAAAAAAAAAUGAAUCUUUGUAUAUAUCCUUGACAAAGAAUCGUUUACGAGUGCAUACAGAAACAAACUGAAUCUGGAACAGACAAUGUUCCUAGGUGUAAGGAACUAAACACAAAUGAAUCAAUGUUCCUAAGUUUAGGCAAAGAACGAAGAGCUUGUCUUGAUCGACCGGAUUCAACAGUGGGAUUCUGCACUUCCCCUAAGCUGACCUCUGCAACAUAACGACGAGGCGUAUGAUUUCAUGG